GCGCCCGUAGCUCAACGGAUAGAGCAUCUGACUACGGAUCAGAAGGUUAGGAGUUCGAGUCUCUUCGGGCGCGC
rnacentral:tRNA from 1 species